rnacentral:lncRNA from 1 species
UUUAAUCAGGUGAAAGUGAAUACCAUGCUUGGUUCACGUGUUCUAAUAAGAGUUUUACCACCUGCAAAAGUAAGAUUUAAAGCAAGAGAACAUGAUAAUUGUAGUAUAAACGGCUCAUGACACACCCUGAUCCGGAAUGUCCACUAGGACUCCGAAUCGAGUUGUGCUGGUCAACACCUGAAAGGUGACGAAGCCAUAAAGUAUAGUGAUGUGGAAAUGUGAAUAAAUUUAAACCUAAUAAUUUCUAAAGACAAGAGUGCGCUGUGAGCGAGAAUGAACUCAUUUCACACUCGAAGUCAGAGCAUAAAUAUAGUACAGUAGUGGGUAAGGAUCAUGCCCUCAGAGGUAGCCACCUAUACUGAGAUUCACCAAGAAUCCUCGUCGAUACGAACUUUUAGCAUCUAAAACCUGGAGGAGCGAAAAACAAGAGUGAGUGGGCAAAAACAAAACGUUUGAAAACUAUUUAUCUUUAUGAACAUAAUAACCCCUUUCCGUAAAACCCGUAUAGUUUCUAGAAAAUAAUAAUACAUACGUAUAUAGAAAUCAUGCUCGAAAGUAGUGAAAACCAAGUAUAUGCUAUGUCAAGUAUCUCAACAAUGAAAUAAGUAAGCCAGGUGAAAUAAAUCAAUAUAAAAUUAUAUGUCAGCCGAAGUCACCUAAUGUGACAUGUACAACUGAGCCUAUAGCUCAUCUACCAAUUCCUGCACACAAGUCGGAACCACCUAAUGUGGUAUGUACGAUAGGCUAUGUGUAAAUAGAUACGCUUAAGUGCUACAAUCACGUAAAGACUCUGCAAAGUAUCGCAACUCACCUACAAGUCGGAAGCACCUAAUGUGGUAUGUACGACAAGCUGGCACCUACCUUGGAUCCAAGGUGAGCAUGUGGUGCGGGAGGUGAACGAUCACGUGAAGGCUAAGCCCUAGCCUCGGGGGGAGCACUAACACCGGGGUGCAGGAUAAUGAGUACUAAAUGCAUCUAAACAAAACCAUACCCAUUGCAAUCACUAUCAUCAAUAUAUACUCACCUGAAACUUACCUGGGCAUCCGCUGCGUCAUGCAAUAAUAUGUGUAUCUAUACUAACGCAUAUGCUAAAAUGUAAUGCAAUUGACAUGGUAUUUGAAAAAAAAACCGUAAAUCCAUUUAAAACAAUUUCUGGAAAAUGUAAAGCAUAUAUACAUGUGUGUGUGUAUAUAUAUAUAUAUAUACCCAUUGCAAUCACUAUCAUCAAUAUAUACUCACCUGAAACUUACUUGGGCAUCCGCUGUGUCAUGCAAUAAGAUGUGUAUCUAUACUAACGCAUAUGCUAAAAUGUAAUGCAAUUUCUGGAACAUGUAAAGCAUAUAUAUAUAUAUAUAGAAAACCAAAAAAACCCACUCAUAGAACAUGACGUUGGGUCGAACCCGCCUCGCGGCUUCGAAAAUCCUUGCAAUGUGUUUCACCUAGAAACAAAACCAUUAUGUACUUAUGUAUAACGUGCUAAAGUAUAAACGAGUUUUCUAGAUUUUAUUGCGUGUUUUUCCCUUAACUUUAGGAGCUCAUUUCAAGCUCAAUUUUCAACCAAAUUCAACGAUUCAAAAGCCAACUAGAAGUUAGAAAUGUGGGAAACAUGUUCGUACUAGUUUGAAAUCAAAUAAUGGCCGGAGUUGACCGGGAAAAUGGUCUGAAAGUGGCCAAAUGGCCACGGGUCCAAGUUUUCCAGAAUCUAGGAAAUUUCGUCCCAAAUUUCAGAGCUAAUUUCUAGCUCAAUUCUCAAUCAAAUUUGAUGAUUGAGCCAUAUUAAAGCUAGAAAUGUAGAGAACAAGUCCAUACCAAAUUGAAGCCGAGUUUAUGUCGGAGUUGGCCAAAAAAAUGGCCUAAAGAUGGCCAACUGGUCAUGACCAAAAUUUCCAUAAUCUAAAAAGAUUUCAACCCAACUUUGAAGGCUAAUUUCUAGUUCACUACUUAACCAAACUCGAUGAUUCAAAAACUAACUUGAAGCUAGAAAUGUAGUGAAUACCAGUUUCGAGGGCCAACCAUCACCGAGAUGGCCGGAAAAUCCUCUCAAAGGGCUAAAUAGUCACGGUCCAAGCUUCCAAAAUUUCUAGGGAAGUCCUCCCUUCGUCCCCGCAUCUUCUAAACCCUAUCCAAAACACGUCUAAGCCCUGAGAUCGUUCACUAGAAAUGAAAAAGAAUAAGGGAGAGAGAGAUCCUAAUGCCUACCUUGGUCGGGUUUCAUUGAAGUCGCCGGAAUCUCAACUUUUAAAACUGAAUUCCUUUUGAGCUCCAAGGCACAGUUCUCAUAACCCAAACUUGGGGUUAAGUUCAUAAAGGUGAGAUGAUUGUAGCAUGGUGCUGUAAUGGUCUGGGUCUCGUAUGUACGGAAGUUGUCAUGUGUGGUGGUGUCUCGGUGGUGACUAACCCAGAGAGAGAUAGUGAGUUUGAAAUGAGAGGUGAGGGCAGUGAGAGUUAAAAGAGAGGGAAAGAUCCAGGGGAUAGGGAACUCGGGAAAAUGGGGGAGAAUGGGUUGAUGCGGUAGUUCCUGGCCUGUAUUUUUGGCCUCUCUGUUUACAGAGAAGAAGAUAAGGAGGCAGAGAGAGAUGAGAGGGUUCUCGAAUGAGAGACCAC